AUUGAACGCUGGCGGCAGGCCUAACACAUGCAAGUCGAGCGAGCGGCGGACGGGUGAGUAAUGUCUGGGAAACUGCCUGAUGGAGAGGGAUAACUACUGGAAACGGUAGCGAAUACCGCAUACCAUCAGAUGUGCCCAGAGGGGAUUAGCUAGUAGGUGGGGGAACGGCGCACCUAGGGGAGGAGCCCUAGCUGGUCUGAGAGGAUGACCAGCCACACUGGAACUGAGACACGGCCCAGACUCCUACGGGAGGCAGCAGUGGGGAAUAGUGCACAAGGGGCGCAAGCCGGAUGCAGCCAUGCCGCGUGGGUGAAGAAGGCUUUCGGGUUGUAAAGCACUUUCAGCGGGGAGGCGUUACCCGCAGAAGAAGCACCGGCUAACUCCGUGCCAGCAGCCGCGGUAAUAC
rnacentral:rRNA from 1 species